AGAGCGGCUUGUACAGUGAAGUUGUGACCUGCAUAAAGCUGAGAUCUUCACAGUGGGGGGUCACGGUGGCUUAGUGGUUAGCACCUUCGCCUCACACCUCCAGGGUUGGGGGUUCGAUUCCCGCCUCCGCCUUGUGUGUGUGGAGUUUGCAUGUUCUCCCCGUGCCUCGGGGGUUUCCUCCGGGUACUCCGGUUUCCUCCCCUGGUCCAAAGACAUGCAUGGUAGGUUGAUUGGCAUCUCUGGAAAAUUGUCCGUAGUGUGUGAGUGCGUGAGUGAAUGAGAGUGUGUGUGCCCUGCGAUGGGUUGGCACUCCGUCCAGGGUGUAUCCUGCCUUGAUGCCCAAUGACGCCUGAGAUAGGCACAGGCUCCCCAUGAGGUUAAAUUAUGUAAACUCUGUCCCUGACUAUACAUCAAUAAAGCUGGAUGACUAGAGAGCAGCUCCCACCAGUACAGCUUCAGCUGUAACCAUGCUGCUUGUUUAUCUCCUAGUGUUGGACAUAUCUACGUCCUUUGUUUUUAGCGCAAUUGAUUUUACUCAGCCAGGGCAUGUGAUUGUCCGGCCUGGACAGACUUUGACCACUGGCUGUAAAGUGUCUGGUUACAGCUUGACUGAUAGCAGUUAUUGUACAAACUGGAUUCGACAUGCUACUGGGAAAAAUAUGCAGUGGAUUGGAUACAUUUGUAGUGAUGGAAGCACAGGGGGCACAGAGUCACUGAAAAACAGGUUCAGCAUCACUCAGGACACCUCCAGUAACACAGUGACCCUCCAUGGUCAAAAUGUGCAGAUGGAAGACACAGCUGUGUAUUAUUGUGUGCGCUACCAUAACACAGUGCUACAGAUCACUGAAGUGCCUGUACAAAAACCUCCUCAGAUCAGCCUCAUGACUUUUGUCAUCGUCCCAAUGUUCAUCAUCUGAUCUCUACAUUUAUCUCAUCCUUUACUGUCUCAGUCAUAUCAAUAUACUGGAAUUUCACAGUGUAGAGUGGCUUUUACAAACACUUUUUAUCAGUCUCCUUAUUUUAAAGAAGUGAGAUUUCAGGAAAUUCUGUAGUGAGAGUAGAGAGCAGG